rnacentral:lncRNA from 1 species
GUUGAGUUUGUCUUCCACUUUGAUGUGGGCCUCAAACCUUUUGACAUUUGAGCCACAACUUUUUGACUAUUAGUUGUGCAGAUUAAUUGAAGUUCAACAAUUGCAGCUUCAACAAUUGCUGCUGCUCAUUUUUUCAACAAUCGGCAGCUCAAUUUUGCCUAUAAAUUGAGCUCAUUCUGCAGAAGGAAAGAUGUGCAGA